rnacentral:rRNA from 1 species
UACGUAGGGGGCAAGCGUUGUCCGGAAUCAUUGGGCGUAAAGCGCGUGUAGGCGGCUGGCUAAGUCCGCUCUGAAAGCCCGGGGCUCAACCCCGGGAGGCGGGUGGAUACUGGUCAGCUCGAGUCCGGAAGAGGAGUGUGGAAUUCCUGGUGUAGCGGUGAAAUGCGCAGAUAUCAGGAGGAACACCAAUGGCGAAGGCAGCACUCUGGGACGGUACUGACGCUGAGACGCGAAAGCGUGGGGAGCAAACAGA